rnacentral:rRNA from 1 species
AAAUUGAAGAGUUUGAUCAUGGCUCAGAUUGAACGCUGGCGGCAGGCCUAACACAUGCAAGUCGAACGGUAGCACAGAGAGCUUGCUCUUGGGUGACGAGUGGCGGACGGGUGAGUAAUGUCUGGGAAACUGCCUGAUGGAGGGGGAUAACUACUGGAAACGGUAGCUAAUACCGCAUAACGUCGCAAGACCAAAGAGGGGGACCUUCGG